UCCCUGGUGGCUCAGAUGGUAAAGCAUCUGCCUGCAAUACAGGACACCCAGGUUUGAUCCCUGGUUUGGGAA
rnacentral:tRNA from 1 species